GACAAUGGUCAUACCACCCUGGAUUCGCCCCAUCUCAUCUGAUCUCAGAAGCUAAGCUUGGUCAGGCCUGGUUAGUACUUGUAUGCAAGAGAUGCUUAUUG
rnacentral:rRNA from 1 species